rnacentral:rRNA from 1 species
AUGUAAUAGUCAAGGACUAUUUAAAGGGGGUACAGCCCCUUUAAAAAAGGACACAACCUCCACCAGCGGAUAACCCCCAUGCACCUAACCCCGUGGGCCUUAAAGCAGCCACCCCUAAAGAUUGCGUCAAAGCUCCACCAACCAAAAACUCCAAAAACCAAUGCGACUCCCUACACCCACAGCAGGCCAACCUAUGACAAUAGAUGAAUCAAUGCUAGAACGAGUAACCAGGACACCUACGUCCCCCCAAGCGCCAGCCUACACACAUUAACAGCAAAGCCCCAAUAAUAAUCACACCCCCACUAUUGAACCCACCCUGUCAAUCCAACCCAGGGGCGCACAUUGGAGUGAUCAAAGUCUACAAAAGGAACUCGGCAAACCCAAGACCCGACUGUUUACCAAAAACAUAGCCUUCAGCCAAACAAGUAUUGAAGGUGAUGCCUGCC